rnacentral:rRNA from 1 species
UACGUAGGGUGCAGCGUAUCGAAUUGACUGGGCGUAAAGCGUGCGCAGGCGGCUUUGCAAGACAGAUGUGAAAUCCCCGGGCUUAACCCUGGGAAUGCAUUUGUGACUGCAUGGCUGGAGUGCGGCAGAGGGGGAUGGAAUUCCGCGUGUAGCAGUGAAAUGCGUAGAUAUGCGGAGGAACACCGAUGGCGAAGGCAAUCCCCUGGGCCUGCACUGACGCUCAUGCACGAAAGCGUGGGGAGCAAACAGG